rnacentral:sRNA from 1 species
UUUUAGCCCGGAUUGCAGCGGCAUCCUUUUUUGUGGCGCAGCGCAGCGGAGCCAUAAAAAAGAUACAGCGGAAAGCCGGAAAUAGC